CCUACGGGUGGCAGCAGUAGGGAAUAUUGCUCAAUGGGGGAAACCCUGAAGCAGCAACGCCGCGUGGAGGAUGAAGGUUUUCGGAUUGUAAACUCCUUUUGGUAGAGAAGAUAAUGACGGUAUCUAACGAAUAAGCACCGGCUAACUACGUGCCAGCAGCCGCGGUAAUACGGAGGGUGCAAGCGUUACUCGGAAUCACUGGGCGUAAAGGGCGCGUAGGCGGGGUUGCAAGUCAGAGGUGAAAUCCUAGGGCUUAACCAUAGAACUGCAUUUGAAACUGUGUUGCUAGAGUGUGGGAGAGGUAGGUGGAAUUCUUGGUGUAGGGGUAAAAUCCGUAGAGAUCAAGAGGAAUACUCAUUGCGAAGGCGACCUGCUAGAACGUAACUGACGCUGAUGCGCGAAAGCGUGGGGAGCAAACAGGAUUAGAUACCCCGGUAGUC
rnacentral:rRNA from 1 species